ACGCUCCUACGGGAGGCAGCAGUGGGGGAUAUUGCACAAUGGGGGAAACCCUGAUGCAGCGACGCCGCGUGAGUGAAGAAGUAUUUCGGUAUGUAAAGCUCUAUCAGCAGGGAAGAAAAAAGACGGUACCUGACUAAGAAGCCCCGGCUAACUACGUGCCAGCAGCCGCGGUAAUACGUAGGGGGCAAGCGUUAUCCGGAUUUACUGGGUGUAAAGGGAGCGUAGACGGAAAUACAAGUCGGAAGGGAAAUACCCGGGCUCAACCUGGGAAUUGCUUGGGAAACUGUAUGGCUGGAGUGCUGGAG
rnacentral:rRNA from 1 species